rnacentral:tRNA from 1 species
GGAGAGGUGACUGAGUGGCCUAAAGUGCUCGCCUGCUAAGCGAGUGGGGAAGAAAUUCCCUCGAGGGUUCGAAUCCCUCCCUCUCCGCAA